UACGUAGGGUGCAAGCGUUGCUCGGAAUCACUGGGCGUAAAGGGCGCGUAGGCGGCCGGCCAAGUCGGGGGUGAAAGCCUGUGGCUCAACCACAGAAUGGCCCUCGAUACUGGACGGCUCGAGACCGGAAGAGGUUGGUGGAAUUGCGAGUGUAGAGGUGAAAUUCGUAGAUAUUCGCAAGAACACCGGUGGCGAAGGCGGCCAACUGGUCCGGAUCUGACG
rnacentral:rRNA from 1 species